rnacentral:rRNA from 1 species
AGAGUUUGAUCCUGGCUCAGGACGAACGCUGGCGGCGUGCUUAACACAUGCAAGUCGAACGGAAAUAAAGGAGCUUGCUCCUUUUGAUUAGUGGCGAACGGGUGAGUAACACGUGGGCAACCUGCCCCUGACUCUGGGAUAACUACUCGAAAGAGUAGCUAAUACCGGAUAUGAAACCUGGAGACAUCUUCGGGUUUGAAAAGUUUUUCGGUCAGGGAUGGGCCCGCGGCCUAUCAGCUAGUUGGUGAGGUAGUGGCUCACCAAGGCGACGACGGGUAGCCGGCCUGAGAGGGUGACCGGCCACACUGGGACUGAGACACGGCCCAGACUCCUACGGGAGGCAGCAGUGGGGAAUAUUGCACAAUGGGCGCAAGCCUGAUGCAGCGACGCCGCGUGAGGGAUGACGGCCUUCGGGUUGUAAACCUCUUUCAGUAGGGACGAAGCGCAAGUGACGGUACCUGCAGAAGAAGGACCGGCCAACUACGUGCCAGCAGCCGCGGUAAUACGUAGGGUCCGAGCGUUGUCCGGAAUUACUGGGCGUAAAGAGCUCGUAGGUGGUUUGUCGCGUUGUUCGUGAAAACUCACAGCUUAACUGUGGGCGUGCGGGCGAUACGGGCAGACUGGAGUACUGCAGGGGAGACUGGAAUUCCUGGUGUAGCGGUGGAAUGCGCAGAUAUCAGGAGGAACACCGGUGGCGAAGGCGGGUCUCUGGGCAGUAACUGACGCUGAGGAGCGAAAGCGUGGGGAGCGAACAGGAUUAGAUACCCUGGUAGCUGGCACUUCUCCACACAUGACGCUGCCGACGACCGCAGCCACUGUGAUCACGCUGGCACGCACAGUACUCGACAC